AAUUAUACUGUAAAAUAUUAUUGAUAAAGAAAAGUUUAGAAACAAAUCUCUCUCUUAACUUAUAUCUUCUCUACUUAUUGGAAUGAUGUUACAAAGGAAACAUAAUAUGUAUUUAUAAGUGUACAAAAGAAAUAUUAUCCAUCCACUUCGGCUUCCUAUCUUUUAACUUUUCUAAAAUAUGGUUGGUUUUUUCUUUUGUGAAAAACAAGAGUUUAAGCUUCCUUAAUUUUCUCUCAAAUGAAGGAUGUGAUUCUUGUUUUGUUUAGUUGACCAAUUCCAACN
rnacentral:lncRNA from 1 species